rnacentral:rRNA from 1 species
GAAUAUUGGACAAUGGGCGAAAGCCUGAUCCAGCCAUGCCGCGUGUGUGAAGAAGGUCUUCGGAUUGUAAAGCACUUUAAGUUGGGGGGAAGGGUUGUAGAUUAAUACUCUGCACUUUUGACGUUACCGACAGAAUAAGCACCGGCUAACUUCGUGCCAGCCGCCGCGGUAAUACGAAGGGUGCAAGCGUUAAUCGGAAUUACUGGGCGUAAAGCGCGCGUAGGUGGUUUGUUAAGUUGGAAGUGAAAGCCCCGGGCUCAACCUGGGAACGGCUUUCAAAACUGGCGAGCUAGAGUAGGGCAGAGGGUGGUGGAAUUUCCUGUGUAGCGGUGAAAUGCGUAGAGAUCUGGAGGAAUACCGAUGGCGAAGGCAGCCAUCUGGCCUAAUACUGACACUGAGGUGCGAAAGCAUGGGGAGCAAACAG